rnacentral:lncRNA from 1 species
GGGCUUCAGUGUGCCUGGUCCCUAAGGCGAAUGGAGAUGCGUCUGUCCCCCCUCCCCCGCCCCGCGCAGGUCUGUGAACUUGGCAGACCGGGGUCUGGCUGGGGAGAAGGGUAGGGUAUUGAAUGUUUAGCUUCUCUGAGGUAACCGGUGAUUAUUUCCUGGAAAGGCAGGAGCUCAGUUGGGCACAAGGGAGUUGAGCAAAGAGCUGGAUUCUCUAGGGUCCUGAUGCUCCUGGCUUUGAGUGGUUCUUCGGCAGGGAACUUGUUACAGGGUGUCACUGUGAGUAGUGUUGGCUACCUUGGCCUUAGGGUGAAGCCAGAAUUGUGAAUUGGAGAGUAUAGAGAAGGGUUGGUAGGCUACUGAGGUUGGAGAAUUAGUUUUUUAAGGGCCAUGGCGAUGGCAGCCUGUGAGUCGAACAAGGGGCCUUUGCAGAGUGGGCUUCCUGAUAGAAAAUGACCUCUUACUGCGGGGGAGGGGUGACUCAGAUCUGCUAGAAUUCCUGUCGCUUGCUAGUGGAUGUGGCUGACUGUGUUGGUGGCUGGGCACUAAGGUAGAUGGAGCUGGAAGGGGUGUUUGGGGCUGAAAUGAAUUUGUUCCUGAGAGGAAGACAGUGUAGACCAUUUCUUCUCACUCCAAGUCAGAAUGAUAGCUGCCAUUGACAGUAUUUUAAGUAAAGAAUUUCUUUGUGGUAUUUGGAUUCAAAGCCUUUCUCUGUUCAUUUUUUUUUUCUCCUUUGUUUCUGAAUUGUGACUUACACUUUCUUUUCAGCAUUAUGGCUAUUGUUUAUGAUGUUAGGUAAACCUAGACACCAUAAUAUAUGUAGAUUCUAGGGAUUUUCAAUCCAAUUCUCAUAAAUUAAAUUACUUUAAGCCUCUUUUCACUAAUUUCUGUGUCAUUGUUUAAUGUGAAAACUCUAACAGUUUAUGUUGUUAAAAACUAGUUAUAUCCCUAUAUCCAUGAAGCUUCAUUUUCUCCUACUACCAUGAAGUCAUUACAUUGAAUCUGUUAAAUCUUAGUGACUUUUAUUUCAACUCUCCCAGGACAUUAUCUUCACUGGAAGUGUUGUCUAUCUUCACUGAAUUUGAUAUGUACACUGGAUGCGUCUGUAUCAUUAAAACGCAGUGUGCAAACUCCAAACACCUGAACUAUGCACCAGAGAUCUGUGUUCAGUAUUCAGGCAAAAGUUGGUGUGGUCUCUGUAGAUGAGAUAUCAAAUCCUAUAUGAAAAAAAAAAGUGUCCGAAUCAUUGCACAUUUCGAGUUUGUUUAGAGCAUUAGGAAGUGUGUUGCUUCAUUGGAGUAUAGAGUAUAAAUUUUUAGAUUAGAUAUGAGGUAAUACUGGCCAUUUCUCUCUGUUGUACUGAUAGUUCUGGGGAUUGGUUUUUCCCUUAAUCAUUAAGAAAUCACAUAUUUCCCUUAAACUGUAUUCUUUCUCUCUGUAUGUCUCUCUGUCUCUUUCUUUUAAUUUUUUUAUCUUAAAUACUUUAUUCUUUCAUAAACCAAUAUCUAUUGACUUAUGCCAGGCACUGUAUUGGGCACCACCACAGUGGUGAUACUUUUCACGUUUUAAUAGUAGUGGUUCAUAUUUUAGAAAUGGCUAUAGGUCUAUGAAGGAAGAAGUGAUUCAGGCAUAUCAAACUUUUAAUCUGUAAAACCAUUCAAUAAAGUUUUUAUAAAGUAUUGAUUUUGACUAGUGACAAUUGAUUAUCUUCAUAUAUAUUUCCCUGGGUAAAAUUCGUAAUGGUAUGUGAUUGUUUUUGCAUUAGUAUUUAAACACACCUGUUUAAGUAUGCCUGUAGACACACCCCAAGGUAAACACUUUGUUUCUGUGUGUGUCUUGGUAAGCUGUGUUUCACAAAUACUAUAUAUGUGCUUAGGUUCCCCAGGAAGCCUUUCCUUUCCACUGUGGUUUUGGGAGCAUGAAGGUGUUGCUUACUCCUUUUGUCUGGUUCACUGUGUGUAAGAUGGGAGUGUCUGCUGAUGGCUUGGAGUGCUGUCUGCUAGAAUAGGAAGAAUAAAAUUAAGGUAAGACUCAGUCUAUUUGAAAUUCCUUGCCUCUUAAUUUUUACUGCAUAAAUUAUAUUUGAAUGCUUUUUUUUCUUUAAUUGUUAAACUCCAUUCUGAUCUAGUUAAAUGAAAUUCUUGCCUUUGCUCUCUCUCUCUCUAUUUUGGCCAGAAAAAAAGGAAGAAAUUUAAAAUCAAGGCAUUUAGCUAAUAAAUUAUUUGAAGUAUCUCUUAGUAUCCAUCUGGAAAAUCACUUGAUCAAAUAAAAUAAAAACAGCUUUAAUUGUUGCUUUGAAGGCAAGGUGAUUGCUGAAAAAUGUUUUUGACCACCUUUUAGUCAGAUGGAGCCACCUCAGAAACUCCUGGAAAGAAGGCUUAGGGUGUUUGAUUUCUUUGGAGUCAUCCCAUUGCUACCUCUUGCUUGCUUUUUGACCUGCAUAAGCUCUUAACCUCUCUGCACCUUGUUUUUCAAUUUUUUUUUUUCAGUGUGUAAAAUGGAGCUAAUACAACCUUUACAGGUUGUAGUGGGGACUGGUGAGUGUACUUUACUUUUCUUUCUUUUUUUUUUUUUUGUCUUUUUGCCAUUUCUAGGGCCGCUUCUGCGGCAUAUGGAAUUUCCCAGGCUGGGGUUGAAUCGGAGCUAUAGCCACCGGCCUACGCCAGAGCCACAGCAAUGUGGGAUCCGAGCCACAUCUGCAACCUACACCACAGCUCACGGUUAACCCACUGAGCAAGGCCAGGGAUCGAACCUGCAACCUCGUGGUUCCUAGAUGGAUUCGUUAACCACUGCACCACGACGGGAACUCCUAGAGUGUACUUUUCUCAGUAGUAUCAGUAAUAGGAGUGUGGCUGGCUGCUAUUCAUGGAUGAGAGGUUCAGUUUCCUUGACUUGUAAAGAAGGCAGCCUUCUGUGUGUACCUUUUGGCACAAUGGACAGGUGAGAGUAUUGUUGAGGUAGUCUACCCAGGACUGGUGGGCAGGAGUCCACAUUAUAAAGUCCAAGGUGACUCCUGGCACUGGUAGGUUUUUUUUUCCUGGCAGUUUCUAUGGGGAAGCCAGGAGGUAACUGUUUGGUAUGUCUUUGUUUUGGGAACAGUGGGCAUUCCCAGUGACACUGCUAGAGUAUGCCAGGCAGCAUCAUGUAUUGUGUGGCCCCUGAUGAGGAUAUUUCUCUAGUUUUUUUUCUGUUGGCAUCAGAUACCUGACUUUAGUCUUUUUGCCUGGAAGGCUCCAGAUGCUGGAGAGAUUUGUCAUCUUUCUCUAAUUUGGGCUAGUUUGAUAGAAUCUAGCACUCUGUUCAGAAAUGUUUCUGAUGAACAGAAGGUUCACAGGCUUUGUUAUAGAAUUGUUCAGUUUUAUUUUUUCCCUGUGAGAGGGGAAAAAAAAAGUCAAGAGAAAAUAAGUAUGAGCCAGACAGAAAUGAUUCAAAAUAACUGGCCCUAAAUCUCUUCUAGUCUUAGUCAAAUCCCCCCUUCAUUCUGGGUGGUUAUUAACUCCAGGUAAAAGUAUAAUAUUGGAGUUCUCACUGUGGUGUAGCAGAUGAAGAAUCUGACUGCAGUGUCUCAGGUUGAUACAGAGGUGUGGGCAGAUUUGAUCCCUGGUCCAGCAUAGUAGGUUAAAGAAUCCAUUGUUGCUGCACUUCUGGCAUAGGUCACAGCAGCUGCUCGGAUUCAAUCCCUGGUCUGAGAACUUCCAUAUGCUGCAGUUGUGGCCAUUAAAAAAAAAAAAAAGGGGGUUCCCUGGUGGCCUAGUGGGUUAAGGAUCCAGCAUUGUUGCUGCUGUGCCUCAGGUCCCUGCUGUGGCAUGGGUUCAGUCCCUG